rnacentral:rRNA from 1 species
UACGAAGGGGGCUAGCGUUGCUCGGAAUCACUGGGCGUAAAGGAUGCGUAGGCGGACAUUUAAGUCAGAUGUGAAAUACCCGAGCUUAACUUGGGUGCUGCAUUUGAAACUGGGUGUCUAGAGUGCAGGAGAGGUAAGUGGAAUUCCUAGUGUAGCGGUGAAAUGCGUAGAAAUUAGGAAGAACACCAGUGGCGAAGGCGACUUACUGGACUGUAACUGACGCUGAGGCAUGAAAGCGUGGGGAGCAAACAGG